rnacentral:rRNA from 1 species
AUUGCCUCCGUAACGGCGAGUGAAGCGGCAACAGCUCAAAUUUGAAAUCUGGCUUCUUUCAGGGCCCGAGUUGUAAUUUGUAGAGGAUGCCUUCGGGUGUGGCCCCGGCCUAAGUUCCUUGGAACAGGACGUCACAGAGGGUGAGAAUCCCGUAUGUGGCUGGAGGUCUAUACCCAUGUGAAGCUCCUUCGACGAGUCGAGUUGUUUGGGAAUGCAGCUCAAAAUGGGUGGUAAGUUUCAUCUAAAGCUAAAUACUGGCGGGAGACCGAUAGCGCACAAGUAGAGUGAUCGAAAGAUGAAAAGCACUUUGGAAAGAGAGUUAAAAAGUACGUGAAAUUGUUGAAAGGGAAGCGCUUGCGACCAGACUUGCCCUCGGUUGAUCAACCGGUGUUCUUCACCGGUGCACUCGGCUGAGGUCAGGCCAGCAUCAGUUCAGGCGGUUGGAGAAAGACCUUGGGAAUGUGGCUCCCUCCGGGGAGUGUUAUAGCCCAUGGUGUCAUGCGACCAGCCUGGACUGAGGACCGCGCUUCGUGCUAGGAUGCUGGCGUAAUGGUCGUAAGCGACCCGUCUUGAAACACGGACCAAGGAGUCUAACAUCUAUGCGAGUGUUUGGGUGUAAAACCCAUGCGCGUAAUGAAAGUGAACGGAGGUGGGAACCCUUGAGGGUGCACCAUCGACCGAUCCUGAUGUCUUCGGAUGGAUUUGAGUAAGAGCAUAGCUGUUGGGACCCGAAAGAUGGUGAACUAUGCCUGAAUAGGGUGAAGCCAGAGGAAACUCUGGUGGAGGCUCGCAGCGGUUCUGACGUGCAAAUCGAUCGUCAAAUUUGGGUAUAGGGGCGAAAGACUAAUCGAACCAUCUAGUAGCUGGUUCCUGCCGAAUUUUCCC